CAACUCAAUUCUAAGAGGCAGCAUAUUGGACGACUCCACAGUAAUUGAUCAUUCGUGACUUUAACUUAUUCCUGUUAUCUCUAGAGCAUCUCGUAUAUCUAUAGCGCUGCGUUUCUACCCCAUCUUACCAUGGAUAGGGUUUUGUGCAUUCCGGAGUUCACUUAUGGUCCCACAAAGGUAAUCUUUGGAGAUAUUCAUUUUAGCAUACUGUAAAAGCCUGUGCACAAUGUGCAUAACAAAGCAUCAUUAUUGUCAUUCUCUUCAAAGGAAUUCUGCAGAAGCAGCCUUUAUUUCCAGACUCUGCAGGCCUGCUGGGAGGAAACAUAUUACAAUAAACAGAAGAAGCUCAUGGUCCACUAUCUGCUGCUCCAGAGUCAAGGCCAGGUCCCGCACCAUGUCACCACGGAGCACAUGAGCGACUGGCUGGUGUCUCAGGGCAAAAAAUCCCUUAGGGAGAGGGUGUGGAAGGAAACCCUGGAGGAGGGGAAUGACCUCGCUCGGCUGGUAAGACAAUGAGAGUUAGACACAUACUACAAGUCAGUGAGCUCUUUACUAGCCUUUCAACAACUAGUUAGUACAGCAGAAUAGAUAUGUUGUGAAAUUUCACUAAUCGGACUUCCUGUUUCCUACGGCAGACCUGGGAAGUCAACACUUGCCUAAAA